GCCAACAUAGCUCAGUUGUAAGAGCACUGUUCUUGUAAAUCAGGAGUUGUGUGUUCAAUCCUCACUGGUGGCU